GUGCUCAUUUCAGCAGCACAUAUACUAAAAUUGGAAUGAUACAGAGAACAUUAACAUUAGGGUUAGCCUCCACUCAAGGAUGACAUACAAAUUUGUGAAGCAUUCCAUAUUUGA
rnacentral:snRNA from 1 species